rnacentral:rRNA from 1 species
CGUAAUUUAAGCAUAUUAAUUAGGGGAGGAAAAGAAACCAACAGGGAUUCCCUUAGUAGUGGCGAACGAAACGGGAUCAGCUCAUCACGUAGGAUCAUAGGCUUAAUUGUCUAUUGAUCGGUUCCGUGUAAAGGAGGGUCCAUUAUCUUGCACAUAUAACCAUCAUAUUUAAGUCCAGCUUGAAUGCGGCUCAAUAUACCCAAAGAGGGUGCCAGGCCCGUAUAUGUAUGAUGCUUGUGUAAGUGGGCUAUCAACUCCUAGGAGUCAUGUUGCUUGAUAGUGCAGCAUUAAGUGGGAGGUAAACUCCUUCUAAAGCUAAAUAUUACCAUGAGACCGAUAGCGAACAAGUACCGUGAGGGAAAGUUGAAAAGAACUCUGAAUAGAGAG